AUGGAUGGGAUUGUGUGCAUGUAUAUCCAUUAGGUAGGGACUAGUAGUGGACUACCCCCAUAUUAGGUUUUGACCAGGUAGCACCAUAGGACUCAAUAGGGACUGUCCACAUUAGGAUUUGACCAGGUAGAAUUCAAGUUCACAUUGUUGUCAAUGGGACUUAAGUCACAUGCAACACUCCCUCGGCUUCAAGAAAUGUCGCUGCUCUUGAUCUCUGCUAAUUUUGUCGUUUCCUUAGCUCCAGAGACUUGUGAAAACAGUUCUGGCGCCACUCUUUCUCAUAAGAAGCUUGACAAAAGUUGACAUGAAUAGAUUCAAUGAUCAAGUCCUUCUCAGCUAUUCAGUUUGCGAAACUUACAAUGCCUUGAGAGUAGUAUUGAACUUGGAUGAAAAUUUUCUCACAGCAGAGAUGCCUGCAGAUAUGGGAAAUCUCAAACAAUUGUGGCGGUUGUCGCUUCAUCAGAACAGAUUCUCCAGUGGGAUCUCAAUGUCUUUUUUGCAUUUAACUGAACUGGAAGUCUUGUAUUUGCAAAACAUAGGAAGUUUGUAAGAAAAAAAUUGACCCUGGCCUUAAGCCGUUAAGCAUGAACCAGUUGACAGGUGAAAUUUCUUCCUCGAUCAAGAGUUUGAGCAAGUUGGUGACACUUCAAUUAGACAAUAACUUGCUUUCAGGUGAGAUUCCAACAUGGUUGCUAGAUAUCAAGGCGUUGAAACUUUUAAAUCCUGGAGGAAAGUAUUGGAACAAUAGUUAACCAGUAGCUCCUUAGUGUCUUAGUGUAUGUUAGUUAUCUCAAUUAUCUUUGAGGUCUUGCUGAGUUGCCACUCCCAUUCCAUUCUGGAUAUCCACCCAAAAGAAUCUUGAUUUCUUAGAUUGAAGCAAGAAGAGCUGGAAGGAGCCUUCCCACCAUGGCUUGCUGAAUCAAAUCUGGGAGAAAAUAAGUUUAUGGGUUCUCUGCCACCGCCUCUAUUUCAGUCUAAAUUUAUCAGUGCUUGCUUUGUCAAGAAACAAUUUUUCCAGUGAGUUACCUAAAAACAGUGGAGAUACACCUUCUCUUAUGAUACUUAAGCUGGCCAACAACUUUUCUGGUCCGAUAUCAAAUUUGAUCUCAAAGAUUUAUGUCACAGAGAUCUCUUCCAACGGAUAUCUGGUCAGCCUCCAGUAAACUUUGCAUUAGGAAAAAUAUACCAGCGUUAGACGACAAUGAGUUCUCAGGUAAGGUCUCUUACCUCCCGAUCUUAGCAAAUUGAGCCAACUUGAGCACCUUGACCUCCAUAAGAACUAUACCACAGGCAAAUUGCCAGAGUUUCUCACCUGAAAAGUCCAGCAUCCAGCCUUCAAAUUGCUAGCCCUCUAAGGCCAGAUUCCAGACGCUCUAUCCAAAUUCAGUAGCCUUCACACUCUUGACUUCUCAAUCAACAGCCUGAAUGGAAAAAUCCCUGCAAACAUUGGAAACAUCGAAAGAAUGAUAAAACCCCCCAUACACUUUAAUGGGUUCUGUAAUUCAGUGACUUGAUUUUAAACAGGAAGAAGUCCCUGCAAGGUCUAUUGGCUGUAACCUUUAAAUAUACUUUUUCUUAGACUUUUCCAGAAACCAAUUGUCAGGAGAAGUUCCAACUUUGAUGGGUGGUCUUACAAGUUUGAAGUUACUCCAUAUCUCUACAAGUAUUCCUGUGAGUUUUGGUGGAUUACAGAGUGUAGAAAGCUUAGACAUGCUCACACAACAAUCUUUCUGGGAAAAUGCCAUGGACACUAGUGAAUCCCCAACAGCUUGGAACUCUGGAUGUAAGCAACAAUAAGCUUGUGGGUCAGACUCCAAUGGGUAGCCAGAUGGACAGGUUUAAUGACCCAAGUUCUUACACUAACAACAGUGGAUUGUGUGUAUGCAAAUACAAAGGCCAUGUCCAAUGACACCUCCACCAGAUAUCUCCACCAAGGUCAGGAGUCAUUAAGCGUGAGGAACUGAGGAUACAUGGUUUUCACGGAUGGGUUAUUUGUCUCAGUGUUGGUAUCUGCAAACUUUUGGGCUAUCUUACUUACACCAAGGAGGCAUCAGCGACGAAGCAUUCGCAAAAUAUAACAUCACCUUACAUGCCCGCCCAGUAAAUCUAUCAUCGUUGUAAACAUAAAACACCAGGGCGUCACAAAGGCAUUGUGCCAAUCCAAGGUGGAUCAGUUAAAAAAGGCCCAUCUUAGGUUCUAAACCAUGAACUAAGACUCCUGGUUCUGUUUUGCCUAUGGAAGAUUAGCAACCAAAGCUAAUAUUAUGCAGAGAUCUCUUUUUUACUAGUCAGAGAACAUGCAAUACUUUCAUAGAUCAACACACCAAAAGAUCUGUAUCAUUGUAAAGCAAUGCAUGGAUCUCUCUGUAACUAGUCAGAGAACAUGCAAUACUUUCAUAGAUCAACACACCAAAAAUCUUAUCAUUAUAAAGCAAUGGGAUCCAUAUAUUCCAAGAAAGAGUUCCAAACCCAACAGUAACAUUGCUAAAGGGGAUUUGGUGAGUUGAUCCACAAGUGUGUUUAUAAUCCUCUUAUUUUGUAAGUAAAAUGCUUAUUAGCAGUAACAAUCAUAAGCAACAACCAUAAGAGUUUAUCUGAAUGUUGUGAAGAUACAUAUAGCAUCAAUAAAAAGCAAAACAUGUGAUAACACAUCACAGCACUAACCCCAGCUAUAGAUAAUAUGCAUAAACUGUCAGGGAAAAACGUUUACCAAAAAAGUAAAACGAAUUUGUAUUAUCACUGUUUCUUAAGGGAGGACUAUGAUUUUGGGUGAGCAGUAAUGAGCACAAUCAUCGGCAGAAAAGAAUCUGGGGAUUCGAGUGACUGUAAAAAAAGUAAAGAUGUGAAAAGUAUCAAAAGCAAAUCAAAAUAUGAAUAGAAAAUGUAAAAAGAUGAGAACCAAUACCAUAAGUAGACUAAUGAAAACAUUCUACAUUUAAAAAAACUCAUUCGUAGUUGAAAAAAUACAUGUAAUAACUUUUUAAAAUAUGAGGUAUUAAGCAAAACAUAACGAAUACAAAAAAAUCAAAAUUAUAUGUAUCAAUAUGUCAAGGCAUCUCUAGCCCCUAAUUUUGAUUGAAUACACAUGUUGAGUACAAGUUUCACUUAAAAAGCAAAACAGAUGUAUUUAUAAAGUUUUCCAAGUGUCCGUUGAAGAUUUUGCAAACAACACCAUCUAUUGGCAGUAAAGAAUCUGGGGAUUUAAGCACCGUAUGAGAUGCCCUUGACGUAUAACAGAUAUAAAAACAUCAACAAGAAGUAAAAAUACGACAAGAAAAUAUAAAAAUAUGAAAACCAAUUCGAUUAAGUAGACUAAAAAGUUUGAAACAAUAACAUCGGUGCAAAGGAGCACCUUCAUAGUAUAAAAUCAAAACAAAGAAAAGUACAAUCCUUAUAUAUAAUAAAAGACGUACAUAAAUAAAUAAAAUUUGCAUCUCCAACCCAUCAUUGAUUGAGUGUGUCCACAUGCUUUCAUGCAAGUUUCACUUCAAAAAUCAAAUGCAUUUUCACAAUGCACUAUAGGGACCAUUGAAGAUUUCAGAUGAAGGGUAGAGGGCACAUUAUUUGGCAGCAUACAAUCUAGGGAUUUCAGCACAAAAAAGGAGAUGCCUAUAUAAAUAUAAAGGUAGCGAAAGAAUAAAAUAAGUCAAGAACCCAAAGAAAUAAAUUAAUACAUUAUAAAUAUUAAAACAUAAACUUUAUACAUACAGCAAAGCACGAUCUUAGGGUCUGUUCGAUUAGAAAUUUUCCAGUAAAUAUACCUUAGGGGGCAGAAAAGACAAGAAGAAAACAGAAAACUCUCUCUCCUUCGUAUUUUCUUCCCAAUUUUCAAUCCUCGGAUAUUUCACCUUUACCCUCCCGAUUUCCUGGUAAAUUUAUUUACAUAAUCAAACAGCCCCUUACUAAAACAAUUUCACAAAAAAAAAAAAAAAAAAACUAUAAAACAAAAGAUCUAGAAAGCAAAAUGAAAAAUUAAUGUAAUAUAUAUCAAUUAAAACAUCGAAGCAUCUCUAACCCCAGUAACAAAUGAAUACCUACAGAGUCGCAUAUUAUUUAAUAAAACUGUCCCACCAAAGUAUUUCCAUAGAAACUUAGAAAGCAUAAAAAUUUGAUACAAGACAAACAUGCUUAAGAUAUAAAUUACCUUUUGAAUCAAAUGAAAUCAAAACAGUAUAAUGCCCCUUAUCCAAUUUGAAUGAACACAAAAGCACCAUUCAUUGUUAAGAAAUUUAAAAAACAAUUAUAAAUGAUAUGUUAUAACAUAGAGUUUAAGCAAAAUAAGACAGAUAAGAAAUUGUUCCGGAAUUGUAUAUCACUUAAAACACCAAUAGCAUCUAUGAUCCCCCCUUAUUGAAUGAAUGUCUAUCUACAUGCUUUAAUACAUUUCUCCUAAAGGCAAAAAACAAAAAUGUUUUCAGAAUGCAAUCUAGUGAAACAGCAGAGAUUCAAGGUGGAUAGUAAAGGAAUCAUUCAUUAAAAGUUUAGAAUCUGGGAAUUCAAGCAACUAUAAAAAGCAUCAAACUUCAGUGAAAAACAGACACAAGAAUGUAGUCAUAUAUUUUAAGUCAUUUAAGUGGAAUGUAGUCAUAUACUUAAGUCAUUUAAGUGGAACAAAAUGAAAAGAGUAUGCAUAUAAAUAGCACUAUCAUAAUUAACAAAAUCUAAAGAAUUUUUUUUAUAACAUCAGAUAAAUAUUAAAGAUAAGGGAAGUUGGUAUUCAAGUGAAUCCAGCUUCACUUGAAUCAGCACAAACAAUAAUGUUUUUCAAAAUUAGUGUGUGUGCACGCAUGCUGGAAUACACAAAUCUUAGAUGACACCUUUCGGUUGAGGUUCCUCAACAUCUGUGUUUCCAUUAUUCUCUUUCUUCCACCAUUAAAGGUGGGUGGAGCCUUUGAUGCUCUAACAGACCCUAUAAUUUCUUCGAAGAAAAAUUAAAAGUUUUCAAUAGUUGAAAACCCUUUAAAAUUGGCAACUAAAACACUAAAGAAGAAUAUUUAUGGCAGAGGAGAAAAACUGAUCAGAGUUUUUAAGUGAUGUAUAAAUUGCAAUUUACGAGCGGAGGGAAUCCAGAGAUACUGGCAGAUGGGUGAAGGUGUAUUGAAAUCGAUAGGAAGUAAACAAUGCAGGAUCCUAUCCAUCGACUUUGACAUAACUUAAAAAAAAUAUCCUGUACUCAAGUACCUGUUAUUAAACCGCUCCUGUCCAUCCAUUUCCAAGAAGAUCUGCAGUUCUUGUGAUUCCUUCUGGGAUUUCUCAACCUGCAAGUUUUACCUCGCAAGAAGUUAUGGCCCAUCUGAAGUCCCCUACUCCUUCAUCAGAUAUCAGUGCAAUUUAAUUAGGUCAAAGUAAGUCUAUGAACACGUGCUUAAAUAUCUCAAUAAUAUGCAGAAAAGUUAAAUAAAAGGACUGGUAAGUGAUAACUUACCCAAUUCCAUGAGAGAUUUGAUUUCAUCCAUCUGUCCACACAUCUAUCAACUAAGCCCUGCGAUCAGCCAUCUACAGCCAAGAAGAAUUUGCAAAUUCACACAACAAGAAAAACAUGAAACAUACUGAACCACAAAGAAAAGUGAAUAAAACCAAGACAAUACAAAAGAUCUUGCUAGACACUGUAAGAAGGUCACAGCACUGGGCUCGUGCUUAUUAUUUAUGGAUGUAUAGGUCUGAAAGUGUUACUCUAUGAUGACUUCUCUUAGAGAUGCAGCGUGUAUUCAUAUAGUAGCAAGAAUCCUGACGCACAUUCCUUUCUAACUAUUCCUAUGUAUAUAUAUAUAUAGUAGCAAGACUGCAGAUAUGUGUAUAUAGGUAGAAGUCUCUGCCCAGGUUGGCACUUGUAUAAAGGGAAAUCAUGAUUUCAAGUUUCUAUGCCUAUUACUUAAGGUUAAACACCUCUCUUCACACUGCAGUUUCUCGAAUCAGCAAUUUGGGUAUCAUUUUUGAAAGGCUACAUAAAAUAAUAUGAAAGAGUAUUAACGCAUGAAUAAAAAUGCAACACCAAAAGUACAAAACCAAAGACAGCUAGACCUCAUACUAGAAUAACUCCCCUCCCCGACUAGGUUGGCACCUCCUCUGACAAUCUACUUCCAACUUUCAAGAUCUUUUCCCUCAAACACUUCGACUCCCUUUAAGAAACAGAAGAAGCCCCAGAAAUAUUCUGGAAAUAUGGGAUAAAGUAAAACCAACAUUAACAAGGGAGCAAAGAGAUAGCAAAACUUUUAUUUCGAUAAGACAAGAAAUUUCUUCAAAUUUAAUCAUACACACCACUCACCAUUGUAAGUAAAUUUGUAAUGUUGUUUGAUUUAUAUAAAACUCUCAACACUUUCUACUAUGUGCUUUUAUCAGGUGUCUCGUUGUAAUGUACAAUAGUAACAGUUUAUCAAAAAAAAAAACCAUAUAGCCAUUGGUUAUAUUUCCAUCAACCAAUCAAGAUAAGUAUUAUGAUUUAGAAGGGAAAAUAAAAUUUAAGUAAAAAAGUGGACUUUUGUGAAGCAUAGUUAUGUUAACCACAGAUUUCCCUGAACCUAGAGCAUGUUGUUAAACAUAGUUUCGAAGCAUAAGUAUAUAUCCUAAUCUAAAUUUCAACUUAAUUAGCAAUUAAAUUGUAGAAUUCAAAUGAAUUAACCAACAAACGAGCAUCUUACAAAGAAGGUGAGCGUCUGACCACAUGCGUCUUCCAUUGUUUUCUUACUUCUUUCACCAUUAAAGCUAAAGUGGAAUCAAUCUACGAAACACUCUUAACGAACCCUAGAAUUUU
rnacentral:lncRNA from 1 species